rnacentral:rRNA from 1 species
UACGUAGGGGGCGAGCGUUGUCCGGAAUCAUUGGGCGUAAAGCGCGUGUAGGCGGUCCGGUAAGUCCGCUGUGAAAGUCGAGGGCUCAACCCUCGAAUGCCGGUGGAUACUGUCGGGCUUGAGUACGGGAGAGGCGAGUGGAAUUCCUGGUGUAGCGGUGAAAUGCACAGAUAUCAGGAGGAACACCGAUUGCGAAGGCAGCUCGCUGGAACGUUACUGACGCUGAGACGCGAAAGCGUAGGGAGCAAACAGG